UAGUGGUGUCAAUUCAGUUGAUGGAAUUGAAGAACCAUUUCAAGCAGUGAACAGAUUCUCCAUCAAGAGUCAUCCCAUGGUUGUUCAAUCCCCAAUUUGCAAAUACAAGCAUCCACAUCAAAACAUUCAUCUUUUUAAUUACCCUUCGUAAACUCUUCACCUCCUUAAUCGUUCAUUCUUCCAAUUGUGAAAGCAUAGAAUCAUCCAUUUCCAAAUUGGAAAAACUAGGGUUCAUGCGUAAUUCUACAACGAUCACUAUUUCUUUUCAUCUGUGUGAUUCUUAACGUUUGUAAAUGAGAUAACCAGAUGAUCAAUGGCCAAUUCCUUUUAAGUUAUCAUAGCCCCAAAUCUUGCUUCUGUUGCAAUUGAGUUUUAUACCAUAUGGAUUGAAUUGUUGAUUGAUGAUCUAAUAACUGUAAAUGAAAUUAGUGAUUUUUAGUUUCGUUGGGGUUGUUUUUGUGGCAUGUGCAGGUUUGACCAGAGAAAUUUGAAACCGUCUGGAGCAGAAGAAACCAAAAUGGCUCUUUCCAAAGCCAAGGCAAGGCAUGGAAAUCGUUUCCUCAAACCCCCUUGUCCUCUUUAGGGUAAGUACAGAACAAGAUGAGGUAGAGAUCGAGGAGCAAGGACUUUGAUGUUGUAGUUGAUGACCCAAUCCAGAUGAAGGCCUUCACACAACGUGCAAAUGAAAAGUUUCCGCAUCUGCAAAAGCUUGUGGAAAUGGAGAUUAAUGGUGCGAAGAAGUUGCAGGAGACCAUUAGUCAUGGGAAGCUAUGGGGUGUUUUCGCAAGGCGGGACUGUGAGAUUUAAUCUUGAUCCUUUCAACGAGCAUAAUGAUCCUGAUCUUUGGAGAGGGCACAUCUAAAGGAUGUCAUCAGGAGGAACCCUUUGGGUUUAGAUGCCGAGAAAUUACCGUUGAUCAUAAAUCAGUAACUUGCUGAUUUUUCUAUGGAAAGAGAAGAAUCAUUAACGGAGAUGAUGUCUGCAGAAACUGGGACCUAUCGCUGGAUGGCUCCUAAGAUCAUGUUGGUAUCACAAUGGCAGAUCUUGGUCAACUCUGCCAUGGCAGCCUGCAUCAAGAUGGGAAGAAUAGAACUAGCAAGAUCUUUUGCUGAAAAUAGACUGUAUGCCGAUCACUGGCUUGAAUAUUACGCCACCAGAAGCUGUAAACUUAUAGGGAAGCAAUCGAGACUGUACCGAACUUGAAAAAUUGUUGGAUAUUUGACAUCUAAGAUGCUUCUAGAUAACCCUGAAAAAGCUUCUCUUUUGUAUUGGGAA
rnacentral:lncRNA from 1 species